GGGCCCGCACAAGCGGCGGAGCAUGCGGAUUAAUUCGAUGCAACGCGAAGAACCUUACCAAGGCUUGACAUGGACCGGAUCGCCGCAGAAAUGUGGUUUCUCCUUUGGGGCCGGUUCACAGGUGGUGCAUGGUUGUCGUCAGCUCGUGUCGUGAGAUGUUGGGUUAAGUCCCGCAACGAGCGCAACCCUUGUCUCAUGUUGCCAGCACGUUAUGGUGGGGACUCGUGAGAGACUGCCGGGGUCAACCCGGAGGAAGGUGGGGAUGACGUCAAGUUAUCAUGCCCCUUAUGUCCAGGGCUUCACACAUGCUACAAUGGCCGGUACAAAGGGCUGCGAUGCCGUGAGGUGGAGCGAAUCCUUUCAAAGCCGGUCUCAGUUCGGAUCGGGGUCUGCAACUCGACCCCAUGAAGUCGGAGUCGCUAGUAAUCGCAGA
rnacentral:rRNA from 1 species